UUUUUUUUUUUUUUAAUUGAUCCACUUUGGGGAAUAAUAAUAACUCCAAAAAGUAAUGCUGAUUUUUCUUUGACUUAUUAAGACAAAUAUGGUUUCCUCUUCAUGAGUGUAGGAUGUGACACUCAAUUUAAGCACAUUUGGAAUAUGUUUAAAAAUAGAACUAAUUCCAUGAUACUGUCAUUUUAUUUUACAGUCAGGUUUUCCUAGUGCUUUGCCUUUAGUUCCUGGAUUACUAAAGAUUUAGAUGGAUUUAAAGCUAAUGUCUCCAGAUAGUCAUUAUGCUAUUUAUUUGGUUUUGCUAACCUAAAUGUAUAAAGCUAUAUAUAGCAUUUGCCUUUAACUCAGAUGCAAAAAGAACCUCAUACAUAAAUUUUAGAGUGUAGAUAAAUUGAGUGGAUAAUAAAUGCUGGGAAAGGAGGAAAGAUUAACACGAUGACCAUGACAAAGCAAGCCCAGAACUGUGAUGUGUGUGAGAAUUGAUGGCGUAUGUGUGUUUAUUUUUCUCAACUAUGAUAUCUUAGAACAUUUACUUUUUCUUCCUUGUCCUUAGAAAACAUGGCUUUUUUUUUUUUUUUUUUUUUUUUUUGUCUUUUUGCUAUUUCUUGGGCCGCUCCCACGGCAUAUGGAGAUGCCCAGGCUAGGGGUCGAAUCGGAGCUGUAGCCACCGGCCUACACCAGAGCCUCAGCAAUGCAGGAUCCGAGCCGUGUCUGCAACCUACACCACAGCUCACGGCAACGCCGGAUCGUUAACCCACUGAGCAAGGGCAGGGACCGAACCCGCAACCUCAUGGUUCCUAGUCGGAUUCGUUAACCACUGCGCCAUGACGGGAACUCCAGGCCAGAAUGAAAUAAGCUGAUGGAUCUGUUUUAAAAACUAUAUAUGUCCACAUAAUAGAGAUAGGAAAGUUGGAUGAAUGAAUGUGGUUCUUGAGCAAAGAGUAAGAGCUCUUCCUUUUUGUUGAGUUAAAUGAUUUACUUCAGAGAGUAGCUUGGAAGAUUAUGCCUGGAAAUGUAGUGAUUGAGGGAAAAAAAUCCAUUUGAAGUUAAGUGUAGGCCAUGGUAUGUUAGCAUGGUAUACUGCUGUUUAGAUUAAAAGGGAAGCUAGGCAAGUGCAAGGACAAAACUAAUGUUUGCUGUUCCCUCAGGAGCAGCUUUAAGGUGUAUGCUAUUCCUGCUCUGCUGUUAAUUAGUUAUGGCUGUGAAGUUGGAGAAAGAAAGGAAAAGGUAUGAAUACUAAUAGAUCAAACCCGUGGGGAAUUGAGCACAUUUUGUGUCUAUGUGGAGUAUCUUUAACUCCUAUACUUUUGUUUCAUACUGUUAAGUACAGUAGAAUGGAAGAAAUGUCAGUAUUUUCUUAGAGCAGUGAUAUUAUCAACUCCAUUUCACCACUGUCCCCACUUCUGACCUUCUCUCAUCUCAAGGCUCCCACCCUUUGCAAAUAAUCAUGAACUUUGUUAAAUGGCCCUCAGGAUACCUGGUUUUGCAAGGGACUUCAGUGUUUCUUUGCGAUCUAACACAAUUAAAGGUUUUUGUCUCUGUAGAUUACCAGAUGUUAUUUAGUGGAUACAUACUCUUUUGUGACACCGAUAUAAAAAAAAAGAAGUGUGCUCUGAAACUUUGGAUUAAGUCAGACAUGAGUUCUAAACACUCACAGUGGCCACUGCCAUUGGCUAAAUAUAAUACUGUGCUGUGUGACUUCAUUUUAAGAAAUAAUUAGGAUUUCUCUUUGUUAGACUAGAUAAAUGUUGAGUUCUUUUCCUCCUCCCAACUCUGUUAUAGAACAAAUGAACAUGAGUUUUAUGUCUUUUCUUUGCUCUGGAAAGUGAAGUCAGUCUUUUUAGGUUGUUGAGUAGUUUGGGAGAGCCCGGCUAUGCCUGAAUUUGUUUGAAGAUAAAUGUACAUAGUGUUUAAUAUAUUCAUUGUCCUCCAGGCCCAUUAAUGCCACCCUCUAUAGGGAGAAGUGAAAGUAAAAAAGGAAUGCUUUCCACACACUACCCUGAGGCUGUUCUUUGACCUUUGAUUUAGAAUUAUUAGUAAUUGAUAUUUAUUUACAUUUAACUCUCUAAUAAAAUGUAGUAAAAGAAAAGUAGUACUGAUAUUGAAAGGCAGUAGAUUCAAGUUGGAUGUGAUAGUAAACAAUUUCUCUGAGCCUGGUUUGUCUAUGAACUUGGGAAAAGAAAGGCCCCUUCUAUUCUCACUUUUAUUAACCCUGAGAAACAAGGAAGAUAUAUCCACUUUAAGCAACUUUCUUUAGCCUUGGCACUGAGUAUGUGUGCAUACCUAUAAUAGGUGUUUUUUUAAAAAACAAACCACCCUGGAAUUCCCUUGUGGUGCAGCAAGUUAAGGAUCUGGCACUGUCACUGCAGCAGCUCUGAUCACUGCUGUGGUGUGGGCUCAGUCCCUCGCCUGGGAAUUUCCACAUGUUGCAGGCAUG
rnacentral:lncRNA from 1 species